UUGUUUUUGUUUUUGUUUUUGUUUUCAACACAGAGUUUCUCUGUAUUGCUUUGGAGGUUGUCCUGGAACUAGCUCUUGUAGACCAGGCUGGCCUCGAACUCACAGAGAUCCACCUGCCUCUGCCUCCCAAGUGUUGGGAUUAAAGGCGUGAGCCACCAAUGCCCGCCUGAGGCAGCAUUCUUAUAGGUACAGAUUCAAGGAGUUUCUGGUUGGUGAAGAGGGCAAGGCUGAUAGAAGCCUCAGAGGCUGCUAUGGUCAGUUCAGUCUGACUCAAAGUAGAACUAACUUUGCUGAAGCAGAUGAAUAAGCACUUCCCCCUGCCACUGGAAUGUCCAUGCCAUGAUUUAGGAGAGUCAGUCACCCUGCUCUAUACUCUGGCUUAGGUAAGACCCUUGAUUCAUUUGGUCAUCCUCUUGCACUGGACACGGCGCUUGACAUGAUUGAGCCUAAGACUGUUACAGUGCUGUGUUUCCCCAGGUAGCCUAGGAGACAGAGAUGCUAAAGAGAAACUGGUGGAUGCUCCAUUCACAGCAGGUAAAGUGCAUGACAUGGAGGCAAUGAGGACAUGAGUUCAGACCCCAGUACCUACAAAAAAAGCUGUGCACAGUGUGUUCACAUUCAUGUGUGAGACCAGCAAAACCACUCAACAUGCUGAGAUCCAGGAAAAAAAUUAAAGACCCCUCACUAGCAUUCUCACUUAUAAGAAAAUAAAGAUCUUGAGUUCCUGUUUUGUCUUUGGUUUGUUUGUCAUUUGAAGCAGGGUUUCACACUGUAAUCCACACUGGGUUAGCGCAGGUUAGCUCUCAAAUUCACAGCAGUUCUCCUGGCUCAGCCUUCUCAAUACUGAGAUGACAGACACCAGGCCCGAUCCCCAGCCAUGAGGUUCUUUCUAUUCCAGCCUUAUCUUAGUCUGUGUGAAAGUGUAUUUAUUGGAUGAACUGAUGCAGAGUCACAGAGCUAUGCACCAGGGACUUCUUAAUAACAAUUUUGAAUUCCAAGGAGCUCAGUAACUUGGGGGAAUGGUCAAAGGAGAGAGCAAAAGAUAAACGCCUCCUACCCACAUCCUUCCCUCCACCCAUAUCCAAGAAGAAUGUGAAAAAUGGCAAACCUUUCCCUGCCCAUAUCCUCAUUAUUGCCUCCCAUUUCUUUGCCCCACCCACUCCCAGG
rnacentral:lncRNA from 1 species